rnacentral:rRNA from 1 species
AUGCCACUGGAACUGCUGCACCUGCUGAUGCUAGCAGCCAGUCUGCUACUCAUGCUUCACAAGGGUAUGGUGAUUCUACGUACUCUCAGCAGAGUGGCGGGCAGCAAGCUUAUGAUUACUCUGGUUAUCAGAUCCAAGGGCUGUCUUACUCGCAGCAGCCUGGAUAUGAUCAGCAGGACUAUGGGGCAUCGAUCAGCUGCUAACUCAACUCAGGGUGGUGGUACUGCACCAAGCUAUGGUGGUCCAGCUACACGACGCAAGGUUCUGCCCCUCAAAACUGGAUACGUUGCUGCACAGACACAUCCUGGCUAUGAUAUGCAGCCACCACCACAGGCCACAUAUGGCCACAUAUGGCCAGGAUGCUUAUGGGUAGCCUCCGCAUGCUCAGAAGCCGCCUUCAUCUGCUCCGUAUGGACAGCACCACCUACUCAGGCUGGUUAUGGGCAGUAUGGAUACAGUCAGCCUGGCUAUUGGCUAUGGUGCACCGCCGCCUUCCCUUGGUGCACCCACUGCUAG